GGGAAUUUAUUUUAGUGAUUAAAAUGUUAAGUUGUCAUCUUAGAGAAGGGCUGUAUAAUGGCUCAGUUCCUG
rnacentral:tRNA from 1 species